GCACCGCUGACGACCGGCGCACGGGUGCGUAACGCGUAUACAAUCUACCUUAUAGAGGGGGAUAGCCCAGAGAAAUUUGGAUUAAUACCCCAUAGUAUUAUGAAAUAGCAUUAUUUUAUAAUUAAACAUUUAUGGCUAUAAGAUGAGUAUGCGUUCUAUUAGUUAGUAGGUAAGGUAACGGCUUACCUAGACAUCGAUAGAUAGGGGUCCUGAGAGGGAGAUCCCCCACACUGGUACUGAGACACGGACCAGACUCCUACGGGAGGCAGCAGUGAGGAAUAUUGGACAAUGGGCGAGAGCCUGAUCCAGCCAUGCCGCGUGCAGGAAGACGGCCCUAUGGGUUGUAAACUGCUUUUACAGAGGAAGAAACACUCCCUUGCGAGGGAGCUUGACGGUACUCUGCGAAUAAGGAUCGGCUAACUCCGUGCCAGCAGCGGCGGUAAUACGGAGGAUCCAAGCGUUAUCCGGAAUCAUUGGGUUUAAAGGGUCCGUAGGCGGGAC
rnacentral:rRNA from 1 species